AUACGGAGGGUGCAAGCGUUAUUCGGAAUCACUGGGCGUAAAGGACGCGUAGGCGGGUUGGCAAGUCAGAUGUGAAAUCCUACAGCUUAACUGUAGAACUGCAUUUGAAACUGCUAACCUAGAGUAUGGGAGGGGGAGAUGGAAUUAGUGGUGUAGGGGUAAAAUCCGUAGAUAUCACUAGGAAUACCGAAAGUGAAGGCGAUCUCCUGGAACAUAACUGACGCUAAGGCGUGAAAGCGUGGGGAGCAAACAGGAUUAGAAACCCUUGUAGUCC
rnacentral:rRNA from 1 species